rnacentral:rRNA from 1 species
UGAGUACGAGAUGCUACGGCAUUGAAGCAGUCUAUGUCAGACUUCCAAGAAAAGCUCGGAAUAUCAUAAACAAAAAUGCCUGUACCAUAACCGACACAGGUGGGUAGGUAGAGUAUACUAAGGGGCGCGAGAUAACUCUCUCUAAGGAACUCGGCAAAAUGACUCCGUAACUUCGGGAGAAGGAGUGCCUUCUUUUAGAAGGUUGCAAUAACAAGAUCCAAGCAACUGUUUACCAAAAACACAGGUCUCCGCUAAGUCGUAAGACGAUGUAUGGGGGCUGACGCCUGCCCAGUGCCAGAAGGUUAAAGAAGUUGGUUAGUUUCGGCGAAGCUGAUGACUGAAGCCCUGGUGAACGGCGGCCGUAACUAUAACGGUCCUAAGGUAGCGAAAUUCCUUGUCGGGUAAGUUCCGACCCGCACGAAAGGCGUAAUGAUUUGGAUACUGUCUCGGAGAGGGGCUUGGUGAAAUAGACUUGUCUGUGAAGAUGCGGACUACCUGCACCAGGACAGAAAGACCCUAUGAAGCUUUACUGUAACUUGAGAUUGAAAUUGGACUUUAUUUGCGCAGUAUAGGUGGGAGACGUUGAGAAUAUUCUUGCGGGAGUAUUGGAGUCAUCAGUGAGAUACCACUCUUGUAAUGUUAGAUUUCUAACUUUGUAUCAUUAUCUGGUCAAAGGACAGUUUCAGGCGGGCAGUUUGACUGGGCGGUCGCCUCCCAAACGGUAACGGAGGCGCACAAAGGUUUCCUCUGAACGUGUAGAAAUCGUAUCUAGAGUGUAAAGGCAUAAGGAAGCUUGACUGUGAGACCUACAAGUCGAGCAGGGACGAAAGUCGGUCUUAGUGAUCUGACGGUGCUGAGUGGAAAGGCCGUCACUCAACCGAUAAAAGUUACUCUAGGAUAACAGGCUGAUCUCCCCCAAGAGUUCACAUCGACGGGGAGGUUUGGCACCUCGAUGUCGGCUCAUCGCAUCCUGGGGCGGUAGUACGUCCCAAGGGUUGGGCUGUUCGCCCAUGAAAGCGGUACGCGAGCUGGGUUCAGAACGUCGUGAGACAGUUCGGUCCAUAUCCGGUGUAGGCGUUAGAAUAUUGAGAGGAGCCUUCUUUAGUACGAGAGGAUCGAGAAGGACAUACCUCUGGUGUACCAGUUAUCGUGCCAACGGUAAACGCUGGGUAGCUAUGUAUGGAGUGGAUAACCGCUGAAAGCAUCUAAGUGGGAAGCCCACCUCAAGAUGAG